rnacentral:rRNA from 1 species
AGCAGCCGCGGUAAUUCCAGCUCCAAUAGCGUAUAUUAAAGUUGUUGCAGUUAAAAAGCUCGUAGUUGAACUUCGGGGUCUACUCAUUGGUCAGGCUUAGGGUCUGUACUGGUGAGAUGGAUCUCUACCUUCUGAGGAACUUUCAUGCCAUUUAUUUGGUGUGAUUGGAAAUCAGGACUGUUACUUUGAAAAAAUUGAGUGUUUAAAGCAGACUAUCGUCUGAAUACAUUAGCAUGGAAUAAUGAAAUAGGACGGACUGAUUCUAUUUCGUGGUUUCUAGGAUCACCGUAAUGAUUAAUAGGGAUAGUUGGGGGCAUUAGUAUUCAAUUGUCAGAGGUGAAAUUCUUGGAUUUAUUGAAGACUAACUAC